CCAGCUCCGCGAGAAGGUGGGUUUUGUUGUGCAGUCAGUGCUGUGUGUGCAGUAUGCUGUUUACUGUAAUUUCCUUUGCCCUGGUAACAUCAACCCUUGGGUUUACACCUCCUGCCAGUCGCUGCGCAUGCGCAUCAGUGGACACUGCGAUCGAGAGGAACUUCACGGAAACUGGCGAUAACAGUUACGGGACAUUGAGUUCCCCGAGGUGCCUUCCGUACCGCGGUGUUCAGCAGGCUCUCAAUGACGGCCGGAUAUAUGCCCACGUGUCCUAUCAAGGGAUGAGUGCCUGGCUAUUGACAUUUGAUAUCUACAUAAAGAAGUGUAACGAGCCUUUUGAGUGCGUAUGCGCGAAUGCCAAAAUCGACAUAAGAACUACAUACGGAAGCCGAGGUGCGCCAGUAAAGACCUUGACCUCUGGUCAAUGUGUGACCUUGCAGGGGAAGUCGUUCAACUCCAGCGGCAGGAUCUGGGUACAGGUCAAGGUCAACAACAAGACGGGAUGGCUGAAGACGGGUAACCUAUCCUUCCAUAAGAACUGCAGAGGACACAUGACGGAUGGUAUCUCAAAUACACGCAUGACUGGGUGUCCUAAAACUGUGCCACGUGCAGCCUGGAACGGCGGAGCGCCACAUCCACCAAGUGCCGGUCCGAACAAACCUCCCCACGACCCCUCCAGUCAGCACGGACCAAAGGCGGGCGACUGUGAUAAAUGCAUGGGUAGAAGACAUCGUUACCAGGACGACCACAAGGGUGGAGACGAAUCAAUGGACAGUUCUUGCCUGAAAGCUGACGUCACUGAGUCACACGGAGAGAGUCGUGUCCCAUUGGUCGCUCUUCAGGAAGGUGCAAUGCAUGAUGGUAGUGACGGAAUACUUACACCAGCCCAGCGUGGGAGUCAGAUUGAUUUGGUCCAAGAUAAUUUUCUACAUUUAACAGAGGAGGGCAGGUCAGGCGUGUUCGUGCCCAGGUCCCCCACCAUCUUGGCACGUGCUGUGUGGGGGGCACGGCCGGCUGGCCCUGGAGUAGACAGACUGAAGGAGACUCCCCAGUACGUCAUCAUUCACCAUGGAGCCUCGGCAGGAUGCAGCUACAGCCAGGACUGCGUGAGACUGAUGCAGUGCUACCAGAACUUCCAUGUGGACGGACGUGGCUGGUCCGACAUCGGCUACAACUUCGCUAUCGGCGAUGACGGCAACGUGUACGAGGGGCGAGGCUGGGGCGCCGUGGGGGCACACACGUAUGGCUAUAACAGAAUAUCUGUUGGAAUCGCUUUCAUUGGCAAGUUCAAUGACCGGGAGCCAAGCCAAGCCGCCCUUGACGCACUCAUGACACUGCUUACUUACGGCGUCCGCUACGGCGAACUGUCGCCGUCGUACACGUUGCUAGGACGUCGUGACGUAGGUUAUCCGACAGAAUCCCCCGGAGACAGACUGUAUAAGAUCAUCCGUGGCUGGAAGCACUACAACAACACCGUCAUCUACGUCUGAAUGACGCCGGGUUGCCGUUGGUCUGGUCGUCUAAGGCGCGUUUCUCUUCUAUGUAUCAACGGAUCCUGCCUCGGCUAAAGGAUGCAACUCUUGGCUUACACAGACGCACCAGUGGCUCUUGUUUGCCCUGAAUCCACACCACAGACCUCACAACGCUCUGGUAUAAAGAUGGCAUUAUUUGUCUGCAGCCAGGAACGAGAGCCUGGGUCGAGCAGCGGUGGCUAGCCUGGAACAGACUGGCCUGAAACCACAGUUCUUCCAACUGGACAUCACUGACCAAAUCAUCCUUGGAUGCUCUCUUGCCAGACAGGUAUGAUGGAUUGAAUGUCCUUGCCAACAAGGUAGGUAUCAUGUUUAGGGUAUGAUUUCAAUAAUACAUCACACUCGUAAAACUGAGGGAUAUCCUGGCACUCUCAGACGUGCCAGAAAUAUUUCCAUUCGGAAUAGUCCGAACAACUUCGUUUUUGAGCUACGACAUGAGACAUGCUAGUCUAAAUGCUUCUCUAAUUCGUACCGAGAAUUUAGAAGCAUCGACGCUGAAUGGCUGGUUUGAAAAUCCUGGGAUGUGUCCUCGGGUCUUCAUGUAGAGAUAUAGAAAUCGGUGUAAAAGAUCUGGUGUAAAUGAAAUUAUUUUAGGUUGUUAUAGGAAGGAGGGGUAUUCCAUUUUGAUUUUAUACAGUUUCAUGCAAAAUAUAAAUAGAAACAUAAUUUCGAAUUUGAUAAUAUUGUAUUUUUUCUUCAUUAAUUUGCCAUGAUCAUCGCGAUAAUCCGUAAUUCUACCUUAAGUGACAAGAACUAUUAAUUGAAAACAGUUGCCGACACACUGCAAACCUAAAGUUCCAAACCCAACUAUGAUACCCGUAUUACAUACGUAGCGGCCAUAACAUUUCCGAGUCCCGUGAUGGGAUUCGAACCACGGACCUUCUG
rnacentral:misc_RNA from 1 species